AUACGUAGGGUGCAAGCGUUAAUCGGAAUUACUGGGCGUAAAGCGUGCGCAGGCGGUUUUGUAAGACAGUGGUGAAAUCACCGGGCUCAACCUGGGGACUGCCAUUGUGACUGCAAGGCUGGAGUGCGGAAGAGGGGGGUGGAAUUCCGCGUGGUACAGUGUAAUGCGUAGAGAUGCGGAGGAACACCGAUGGCGAAGGCAAUCCCCUGGGCCUGCACUGACGCUCAUGCACGAAAGCGUGGGGAGCAAACAGGAUUAGAUACCCUGGUAGUCCACGCCCUAAACGAUGUCAACUGGUUGUUGGGGAUUUAUUUUCUCAGUAACGAAGCUAACGCGUGAAGUUGACCGCCUGGGGAGUACGGCCGCAAGGUUAAAACUCAAAGGAAUUGACGGGG
rnacentral:rRNA from 1 species